AGUGAACGCUGGCGGUAGGCCUAACACAUGCAAGUCGAACGGCAGCACAGUAAGAGCUUGCUCUUACGGGUGGCGAGUGGCGGACGGGUGAGGAAUACAUCGGAAUCUACUUUUUCGUGGGGGAUAACGUAGGGAAACUUACGCUAAUACCGCAUACGACCUACGGGUGAAAGCAGGGGAUCUUCGGACCUUGCGCGAUUGAAUGAGCCGAUGUCGGAUUAGCUAGUUGGCGGGGUAAAGGCCCACCAAGGCGACGAUCCGUAGCUGGUCUGAGAGGAUGAUCAGCCACACUGGAACUGAGACACGGUCCAGACUCCUACGGGAGGCAGCAGUGGGGAAUAUUGGACAAUGGGCGCAAGGCUGAUCCAGCAAUACCGCGUGGGUGAAGAAGGCCUUCGGGUUGUAAAGCCCUUUUGUUGGGAAAGAAGAGCAGCAGGUUAAUACCCCGCUGUUCUGACGGUACCCAAAGAAUAAGCACCGGCUAACUUCGUG
rnacentral:rRNA from 1 species